rnacentral:rRNA from 1 species
AGUGGCGGACGGGUGAGUAACGCGUGAGAACCUGCCUUCAGGAGGGGGAUAACGACUGGAAACGGUCGCUAAUACCCCAUAUGCCUCCGGGUGAAAAGUAAUUCGCCUGAAGAUGAGCUCGCGUCAGAUUAGCUAGUUGGUGGGGUAAGAGCCUACCAAGGCGACGAUCUGUAGCUGGUCUGAGAGGAUGAUCAGCCACACUGGGACUGAGACACGGCCCAGACUCCUACGGGAGGCAGCAGUGGGGAAUUUUCCGCAAUGGGCGCAAGCCUGACGGAGCAAGACCGCGUGGGGGAUGACGGCCUAAUGGUUGUAAACCCCUUUUCUCUGGGAAGAAGACUGACGGUACCAGAGGAAUCAGCCUCGGCUAACUCCGUGCCAGCAGCCGCGGUAAUACGGAGGAGGCAAGCGUUAUCCGGAAUUAUUGGGCGUAAAGCGUCCGUAGGUGGUUAUUCAAGUCUGCUGUCAAAGCGUGGGGCUUAACUCCAUAGAGGCAGUGGAAACUGAGUGACUAGAGUGCGGUAGGGGUCGAGGGAAUUCCCAGUGUAGCGGUGAAAUGCGUAGAUAUUGGGAAGAACACCAGUGGCGAAAGCGCUCGACUGGGCCUGCACUGACACUGAGGGACGAAAGCUAAGGGGAGCCGAAAGGGAUUAGAUACCCCUGUAGUCCU